GAUAUUUAUUUUUGUUAAACUGUGACCAUAUAAAAUAACUUUUAAUGUAAAUUUAAAAGAAAUUGCCGGGAACAAAUGUUUUUCUUAAGGUUCUUACUUCGUUGUGACCUCAUAUUAUUGUAUGACGUCAGAGGGGUUAAAUUUCAGGAUUAAGUUCAUAUGUGAAACAUAUUGUGUUUUUUUUACUCAGUCUUUCAUUGCAACCA
rnacentral:lncRNA from 1 species